UACGAAGGGUGCAAGCGUUACUCGGAAUUACUGGGCGUAAAGCGUGCGUAGGUGGUUCGUUAAGUCUGAUGUGAAAGCCCUGGGCUCAACCUGGGAAUGGCAUUGGAAACUGGCGACCUAGAGUGCGGUAGAGGGUAGUGGAAUUCCCGGUGUAGCAGUGAAAUGCGUAGAGAUCGGGAGGAACAUCCGUGGCGAAGGCGACUACCUGGACCAGCACUGACACUGAGGAGCGAAAGCGUGGGGAGCAAACAGGG
rnacentral:rRNA from 1 species